rnacentral:rRNA from 1 species
UACGUAGGGGCCUAGCGUUGUCCGGAUUUAUUGGGCGUAAAGAGCUCGUAGGCGGUUCGGUAAGUCAGGUGUGAAAUCUCCACGCUCAACGUGGAGGAGCCACCUGAAACUGCCGUGACUCGAGUCCGGUAGGGGAGUGUGGAAUUCCUGGUGUAGCGGUGAAAUGCGCAGAUAUCAGGAGGAACACCAGUGGCGAAGGCGGCACUCUGGGCCGGUACUGACGCUGAGGAGCGAAAGCGUGGGGAGCGAACAGG